rnacentral:rRNA from 1 species
GAUGAAUGCUGGCGGCGUGCCUAACACAUGCAAGUCGAGCGGCAGCGAGGGGUGCUUGCACCCUGUCGGCGAGCGGCGAACGGCUGAGUAACGCGUAGGAAUUUGCCCCAAAGUGAGGAAUAACUGCCCGAAAGGGUAGCUAAUGCCGCAUAUGGUCUUCGGAUUAAAGGAUUUAUCCGCUUUGGGAGAAGCCUGCGUUGGAUUAGGUUGUUGGUAGGGUAAUGGCCUACCAAGCCGACGAUCCAUAGCUGGGCUGAGAGGAUGAUCAGCCAGACUGGAACUGAGACACGGUCCAGACUCCUACGGGAGGCAGCAGUGAGGAAUCUUCCACAAUGGGCGAAAGCCUGAUGGAGCAACGCCGCGUGAAGGAUGAAGGCCUUCGGGUUGUAAACUUCUUUUAUGAGUGAAGAAUAUGACGGUAACUCAUGAAUAAGCACCGGCUAACUACGUG